UACGUAGGGUGCGAGCGUUGUCCGGAAUUAUUGGGCGUAAAGAGCUCGUAGGUGGCGGGUCACGUCGGGUGUGAAAGCCCGGGGCUUAACCCCGGGUCUGCAUUCGAUACGGGCUAGCUAGAGUGUGGUAGGGGAGAUCGGAAUUCCUGGUGUAGCGGUGAAAUGCGCAGAUAUCAGGAGGAACACCGGUGGCGAAGGCGGAUCUCUGGGCCAUUACUGACGCUGAGGAGCGAAAGCGUGGGGAGCGAACAGG
rnacentral:rRNA from 1 species